GACGAACGCUGGCGGCGUGCUUAACACAUGCAAGUCGAACGAUGAAGCCGGAGCUUGCUCCGGUGGAUUAGUGGCGAACGGGUGAGUAACACGUGAGCAAUCCGCCCUUGACUCUGGGAUAACUGCGGGAAACUGUAGCUAAUACCGGAUACGACACCUUCGGGCAUCCCCGGGGGUGGAAAGAAUUUCGGUCAAGGAUGAGCUCGCGGCCUAGCAGCUAGUUGGUGAGGUAAUGGCUCACCAAGGCGACGACGGGUAGCCGGCCUGAGAGGGUGACCGGCCACACGGGAACUGAGACACGGUCCAGACUCCUACGGGAGGCAGCAGUGGGGAAUAUUGCACAAUGGGCGAAAGCCUGAUGCAGCAACGCCGCGUGAGGGAUGAAGGCCUUCGGGUUGUAAACCUCUUUUAGCAGGGAAGAAGCGAAAGUGACGGUACCUGCAGAAAAAGCACCGGCUAACUACGUGCCAGCAGCCGCAGUAA
rnacentral:rRNA from 1 species